UACAGUCAUAUCACAUUAAAACACCGGUUCUUGUACGAUCAACGAAGCUAAGCAACGUGGAACCUGGUCAGUACCUAGAUGGGUGAUCGUUUGGGAAUACUAGAGGC
rnacentral:rRNA from 1 species